GGUAGCCUACGGGGGGCAGCAGUGAGGAAUAUUGGUCAAUGGGCGAGAGCCUGAACCAGCCACGUCGCGUGAGGGAAGACGGUCCUAUGGAUUGUAAACCUCUUUUGCCGGGGAGCAAAAAGCGGUACGUGUACCGCAUCGAGAGUACCCGGAGAAAAAGCAUCGGCUAACUCCGUGCCAGCAGCCGCGGUAAUACGGAGGAUGCGAGCGUUAUCCGGAUUUAUUGGGUUUAAAGGGUGCGCAGGCGGAAGAUCAAGUCAGCGGUAAAAUUGAGAGGCUCAACCUCUUCGAGCCGUUGAAACUGG
rnacentral:rRNA from 1 species